rnacentral:rRNA from 1 species
UACGUAGGGGGCAAGCGUUGUCCGGAAUCAUUGGGCGUAAAGCGCGUGUAGGCGGCUCGAUAAGUCUGCUGUGAAAGUCCAAGGCUCAACCUUGGGAUGCCGGUGGAUACUGUCGAGCUCGAGUCCGGAAGAGGGAUGUGGAAUUCCUGGUGUAGCGGUGAAAUGCGCAGAUAUCAGGAGGAACACCAAUGGCGAAGGCAGCACUCUGGGACGUGACUGACGCUGAGACGCGAAAGCGUGGGGAGCAAACAGG